UUGGGGCCCAUGACAGAGAAAGCCCUGUCCCCUCUGAGCUUCCUUCUUGAUCUCGGUACCUCCAAAAGCAGCUGAUCUGCGGACCUAAGAGACCGAUAAGGUAUGUAUGGGUGAAGAAGCUCAGAGAGGUAAGCCGGGGCAAGAUUAUGUAGUGAUUUAAAAACAAACAUAAGAAUUUUAAAAUUAAUGCUAAAAUAUACAGGCAGCCAGGGAAGUGAGGCCAGGACAGGGGUCACGUGUUCCCUCUUUCGAGUUCCUGUCAGCAGUCGUGCAGCAGCAUUCUGUACUAGCUGCAGACGUGAGAGCAGCGACUGACUAACUCCCAGAUAAAGUGCGUUACAGUAAUCCAAUCGAGUUGAAAUAAAAGCAUGGAUCACUGUUUCAAAAUGCUGCCUGGAAAGAAAAGAUUUCACUGACGCCAAUCGCCUUAAAUGAUAAAAGCUGGACUUAACCAUGGCUCUGAUUUGGCUAUCCAAUUUAAAAUCACUGUCCACCUUAAAACCAAGAUCUGUAAUAACAGGUUUAAAAUAAACCUCCAAGGGUCCCAGGUCAACAGAGGAGGACUCACAGGAGCCACUGGGUCCAAACACCAUCACCUCUGUUUUGUUUUCAUUAAAAUUUAAAAAGUUCAAGGCCAACCAAGCUUUAAUAUCACCUAGACAUGCCAGGAGAUGUUUGAUAGAAUGUACAUCCUUUUGCUUCAGGGGCAAAUAAAUCUGACAAUCAUCAGCGUAACAAUGAAACGGAAUCCCAUGUUUCCUGAGGACAGAACCCAGAGGCAGUAAAUAAAGAGAGAAAAGCAGUGGGCCCAGAAUGGAGCCCUGUGGGACGCCAUAAGGCAUUGAAGCAGUAGAUGAUUCAGAGUCACCAAUCUUGACUGAGAUUGUUCUCUCCUCCAGGUAAGACCUGAACCAUUUAAGAACAGUGCCACCAAUACCUACAACAUGGUGUAAUCGCGAUAUUAAAAUGUCGUGGUCUACUGUAUCAAAAGCAGCAGUUAGGUCAAGUAAAAUCAGAACAACAUGGUUACCAGAAUCACAUGCAAGAAGGAUGUCAUUAAAAACUCUUAUUAAAGCAGAUUCUGUGCUAUGAAGAGUUUUAAAACCUGACUGGAAAACCUCCAGAAUGCCAUUGUAAUCUAAAAACUGUUUCAGCUGACAGUACACAAGUUUUUCUAAAACCUUAGAAAGAAAAGGCAGCUUCGAAAUAGGUCGAUAAUUAGCCAGAACAGUUUGAUCAAGGCCAGGUUUUUUAAGCAGUGGUUGCACUACUGCAUGUUUAAAACUAGCAGGGACCACACCUGAUGACAGACUGCUAUUUAUAAUUGCAAGAACAGGCUGCCCUAUGCUAGGUAAGAUAUCUUUAAAAAAUCGUGGAGGGACAGGAUCACGAGGGGAACCUGAUGGCUUAAUAUGGCCAACCGCGUCCUCUAAAAGUGAGACAGUCACAGGCACAAACUGAUCGAAAGCAGCCGAGCGAGGGACCAAAACAGAGGGGUCAGAGUCAGGAGCUGUGAUAAGAGCCCUGGUACUACCAACCUUUUCAAUAAAAAAAUGCAGAAAAUCAUCACACACAUCAGGAGAAGCUUCCAAACAGGCAUUCUGUGGAAUAUUAAGCAGAGAGUCAAUGGUGUUAAAUAAAACACGUUGGUUAUGGCAGUUUGAGAGAAUGAUAUUUGCCAAAUAUUCCCUUUUUGCCUCUUUAACCGUGCUCUGGUAGAGACGCCAACAGUCUUUUAAAAUCUGAAAAGUAAUUUGCAAUUUAUCCUUUUUCCACCUGCGUUCAACACGACGACAUUCCUUCCUUGCAGCACGAGUUCUGUCAUUAAACCAAGGCUCAGGUUUAAUCCUUGGCUGCCUGGUUUUUAAUGGAGCAACCGAGUCCAGGAUGGUUUGGGAGGAAGAAUAGAACCAGGACCAGAGCUCUUCUGUAUCAGAGUGGAGAAAGUCAGAUCAUCCACAGAGCUGAAGAAAAGCAGUAGAGAACUGAGUGGCAGUGGAAGGGUUAAUAAUCCGACAGCGCCGAGGAGCAGCGCGAGUUUUAACUGCAAUAGGUGUCAAACUGACAUUGAAUAAAACAGGCAGGUGAUCCGAGAACACGGAGUCACAGAUUUCCAGGUUAGUCACAGGCAGACCACAGGAAAUGACCAGGUCCAGUGUGUGUCCGUGCUCAUGUGUUGGGCUGGAUACAGCCUGCACCAAAUUAAAAGAGUCCAGGAGGCUUAAAAAGUCCUUUACCAGAGGUUUAUCAGGACAACACACGUGUAUAUUGAAGUCUCCAACAAUAAGAACAUGUUCAUAGUUAGUUAUAAUCCCAGAUAAAAAGUCAGAGAAAUCGCUUAUAAAAUCCUUAUUAUAUUUGGGGGGCCGGUAGACGACAGCACAGAAAACUGGGUUUACGUGUCUCAUCUCAAAUGCCGUAAACUCAAAGCUGGGGAAAGACGUCUGUAGAAAACACUGCUUACAUCUGUAGUCCUGCUUGUAAACAGUCGCUGUGCCUCCUCCUCUUCCCGAAGCCCGUGGUGAAUUAAAAUAAGAACAGUCCGCUGGUAAAAGCUCAGAUAGAGCACUGGACUCACCAACACUCAACCUUGUCUCAGUCACACACAGGAAAUCCAGGUCUUGGUGACUAAAAAAGUCCCGAAGAAUAAAAGUUUUAUUCCCAAGCGACCUGGCGUUUACCAGACCAAUCCUGACAGGAACUGGAUCAUGGGCUUCGACAAGUCAGGAAACCCGACACAGCGGUCUCAGGUUUUGGAGACACUGUCGGCGCAUGUUGAGCCGGGAAAGGCAAGGGCGGCGGUGCAGAGGGGCCUCAACGCCGACCACGGGCACCAAGCAGACAUCAACGGGAUCCAAGAAACGCCGAGGCACCCGAGAGCCUAGAAAUGAUCCAUACGAUGAUCGGGUAAAAGGAGAGCAGUGCGUCAGAUAAAAUUUCAGCUUCACCAGCCGGCCGCUUCGUCUACCACGACGACGUCUCCUCCGUGGAAGCAGCGCAGGAACCCGGAACAGGAAACAGCAUCAAGGGCACAAGCGGGUCCAGCAACUCCUUUUGCCACCUAGAGUAUUGUUUCAUAGGUGAUUCAUAGGCCUCAACCCAGAAAAUGGAACAAAAGCUGCAAAUGGAAAAGUGACAUCAACCAACAAGACGACUUAUGCAGAACACAGCAGUGAACCUGCAUGUCUCCAUUCUCCUCCUUCAUGAGCCAUGUAAUUUUACCAUUUUAAAAUGGUAAAAUUACACAUUUACACUCCAUCUCUCUCCCUGUCUGUCUUUUUCUCCGUCUGUCUCUCUGUAUCUGUUCUGUCCAUUUCUAAUAGACAGACAGGAGGACAGAACAAUGAAGGAAGGUCAGAGAGAGUCUUUCCUUUUCAUCCUGUCUGUCUUUAACUGAUAUGAAUGUAGUUUGGAAACUUUGACAUUUGGGUACUUUUGUUUUAGUAAAAAUUAUUUAAUUAAUUGUACUCAAUGUCAUAUUAUCAUGAUUGUAAAUGUAUCAGUUAUGUUUUUAGAUCUGACUAUUUUUCACUUUCGUUGCAAUACUUUGACUUUUGUGUAACAAGCAAAUAUUGCUGCUGCAAAAUACUGUAUUUUGUUUUGCUUCAGUUUGUCAGAUUUAAAUUGACAAUAAAAUCAAGUGAUUUUAAAAUAUACAUGUAUGUUUUUUUAAUUAGAAAAAUAUAUAUUUUUUGUGAGUUUGGUCAAUUAAGUUGCAGGUUCACAUUUAAACUUUUAAAAGCUAGCAAAGUAUGCAGUUUCAUGAACGACUGAAAAAUGACAACUUUUUGUAAUUGUGACUAGUUUAAAUGCUGUUAAAAUGUGUUGUCAUAUGGCAAGAGUUUAUACCUUUUGUAGUAAAGUGCCUGCA